AAUAAAUCGAAGACGAAGACUAGUAGUAAUACAAACUUUUUUAGAGAGUUUGGACGUGGUGAAACCAGAUAUUGUUAGUAUUAUGAAGCUCCUUCUGAGUGAUGUAAAAAACAUUCGUAUACUCGCGUUAAGAGUUUAAGCGCUAGCAAUGCUAGAAGUAAGGUGGUACCACGGUUAUUUUCGUCCUUUAU
rnacentral:ncRNA from 1 species